AGGAGGAACAACCCCAGUGGCGGGGCCAGCUCUGCAGCCCUGGAGUCAGCCCCCGCAGUAACUCCGGAGCUCUCCCUCUGCAAGGCCUGGAGGCUCCGGGGCGGG
rnacentral:pre_miRNA from 1 species